rnacentral:rRNA from 1 species
GACAGAGGGUGCAAACGUUGUUCGGAAUUACUGGGCAUAAAGGGCACGUAGGUGGUUCGCUAAGUUACGUGUGAAAUCCCCCGGCUCAACCGGGGAAUUGCGCGUGAUACUGGCGGACUCGAGGCGGGUAGGGGUGAGCGGAACUCCUGGUGUAGCGGUGAAAUGCGUAGAUAUCAGGAGGAACACCUGAGGCGAAGGCGGGCUACUGGGCUGAUACUGACGCUGAUGCGCGAAAGCCAGGGGAGCAAACGGG